GGGCUUGUGGUUUAGUGGUAUAAUACUCCCUUAGCAGGAACGAACCAAUAACCAACGAUAUAUCUCACGAUAGCUUCGUUUCUAAGGUUUGCCUACGUCUGGGAGUGGUCCGGGGUUCGAUUCCCCGCGAGUCCA
rnacentral:tRNA from 1 species